AUUGAACGCUGGCGGCAGGCUUAACACAUGCAAGUCGAGCGGGGUGAUGGUGCUUGCACUAUCACUUAGCGGCGGACGGGUGAGUAAUGCUUAGGAAUCUGCCUAUUAGUGGGGGACAACAUCUCGAAAGGGAUGCUAAUACCGCAUACGUCCACGGGAGAAAGCAGGGGAUCUUUAUGACCUUGCGCUAAUAGAUGAGCCUAAGUCGGAUUAGCUAGUUGGUGGGGUAAAGGCCUACCAAGGCGACGAUCUGUAGCGGGUCUGAGAGGAUGAUCCGCCACACUGGGACUGAGACACGGCCCAGACUCCUACGGGAGGCAGCAGUGGGGAAUAUUGGACAAUGGGGGGAACCCUGAUCCAGCCAUGCCGCGUGUGUGAAGAAGGCCUUAUGGUUGUAAAGCACUUUAAGCGAGGAGGAGGCUCUUUUGGUUAAUACCCAGAAUGAGUGGACGUUACUCGCAGAAUAAGCACCGGCUAACCCUGUGCCAGCCGCCGCCGUAA
rnacentral:rRNA from 1 species